GUUUAGCCCAGAUUGAAGCAUUUGUUUGAGCUCUUUUUUGGCUUUUUAGACAAAAAAAGCGAGUGCGGAAAGCUGGAAAUAGC
rnacentral:sRNA from 1 species